UAAUUUGUAUAUUGAUUAUUCUCACAAUACAAACAAUUUUAACGAGCCCUGAAUUAUGGGUUUUCUUUGAGACGUAGGAGCUGAGUUGAGGCUUAACAAUGAUGUGACAGAAAUACUCACUAAUAACUUUGGACAUAAUUGUGUAAAUAAUGAGAUAACUAUUCUGGGGGUUUUUGGUUUCAAUUAGAACUAAAAAACAAACGGUUAAAACGUACCUUGGUCCUAUUUAGUUUUAGUUUUGUGUUUACAAAUUCAGACUGGACCAACAUAUGGAAGAAAAAUGAUGACUGGUUACCUGGCCUCAAAGGGAAUCCGAGCAUCAGAGGGGCGUGUUGGUCGUGUCCUCAGAGAAACGAACCAGCCAUAUCAUGCAGAUCGGUAUCGUAGAUUAAGGAAUUUAAAUCCAGUGCCAUACAGUGCAGAGUACAUGGGUCACAAAUUGCACAUUGACCAAAACGAGAAACUGGUGAUGUAUGGGGUGACCCACGUCCUUGCCGUGGACGGAUUCUCCAGCAACAUUGUAAGCCACUCCACCAUGCCAGUGAAAAACAACCUGACCAUAUAUCAAGAGGUUUACCAAAUCAUAUUAUAGAAAGGAUGUGGCCAGAGGUAAACAACAGGGUAAACUACCCUCUGAAAGGCGCACUCAACCACCUUGUUGACCAGGAGGAACUAAACCUUGAAGACAACAUCACACGAUAUUGUGUGUCCACUCUUACCUGUCAGGUAGCCAACAUUGGACUUGCCCGGAUGGUGCAGUCCUGGAACAGAAUCCAAGGUUUGGAUAGCAGUUUUCAGAAUGUUACUUAAGCCCCAUAACAAAUGACCUUCUUUAUGCAUUUUUAUAAGUUGUACUUAUAUCCUACAUUUGUUUCUCUCUGUAUCCCCUUUUUUACACUAGGUUGAUGGAAAUGUUUAAAUGUGGCAUGUAUAUAUUCCAAUAUUUCAAUAAUUGUCUGAGGAAAGACAUAUCUAAUCUAGUUUAUAGAUUGCUCUUAUUGCAUGAAACAUAUAUAUCUGGUAAGUACAUAAACAGUCAAAUUAAAAACAUACUUUUUAAAGUUUGUAAGAAGUGUACUAAUAGCACAAGUAACAUUUGUUGUAAGGGCAGGCCAUGAUUACACGCUGUGUGAUGUUCAUUGAUAUGCAUGAUAUGUAACAUUACACUAACAAUGGCCACUUAUUUGUGCUUUUCUUUUAAGGUAAGGGUAUCCCAGAUCAACUUGCUCAUGGUGGAUGCCCAAAGAGACUGCCUGCAGAUCUUUUGCCUGAAGCUACAGAUGCUGCAGACUGCUAUUACCAGGAAGUGGGGUCCUCUCUGACACGAGUGUCGCUGUUUGGGAGAAACCCAUUUGCCACUGUGGAGCACCAGACAGCAGCUGAACAAGAAUUUGCAACGAACUAUGCGGACAUUGCUGAACUCUUUGAGCGUGCCAUUCAUAACCAGCCAGCACCAUUCCAAAACGGGAUAAAGGAUCUCAUAGACAUUGUAAGAAGAUACGUGUAAAGGCAAGUGCAGGGAUCAGGAGCCAGUGUAUACCCAGGUUGCUGGACUGUCUGCAGCACUGGAUGCUUUAAGGGCCCUCCCCUAAAGUGGACAGCAGUUCAGUCGUUUAUUGUUAAGUUUAUUGUUUAUUGUUAAGUGGUGUGUGUUCAAAUUCCAGGUUCCAUGAUAUCAUCAUACAGAAAAUAAUUGUUGUAGUUUUCUUUAGCUGUAUGACUUGUUAAUUGUUCAUCUGCAAUGUUUAAUAAAUGGAGAAUUGUUUGAAUGUGUGUCCAUGGUAUGUUUAAUUAUGUUUCUAAACACAGGCAAAUAGCUGCAUACGUAAGGCAAUACAAUCAAACGCUAUUAUUUUAUCAUCCACGCACCAACAGAACAUUUGGAAAUCAGCCAUUAAUCAGAGGUUGUCGAAGUACUUGAGUAAAAGUAGAAGUACUCAGAUCUUGUACUUGAGUAAAAGUAGAAUAGCAAUAAUACAUAUGACAUCUAUUUUUUUAACGUCUCCAUUACCGAUAAAAAGAUCGUUAACGUUGGACCUUAACGGUACCACGGUCUUUAAUAAUUCAUCCCCGGGGCCCCGUUAAUACCGGGGCUCGGUACCCAUCCCUAGUUUUAAUUAUUACAUCAUCAAUAUUACAUUUCAAAUAACCAAGAACUUGGUAUCUCACAAAGAGCAAGUUGCUAGUGCUG